rnacentral:rRNA from 1 species
AUUGAACGCUGGCGGCAUGCCUUACACAUGCAAGUCGAACGGCAGCAUGGAGAGCUUGCUCUCUGAUGGCGAGUGGCGAACGGGUGAGUAAUGCAUCGGAACGUACCGUGUAAUGGGGGAUAACGUAGCGAAAGUUACGCUAAUACCGCAUACGACCUGAGGGUGAAAGCAGGGGAUCGCAAGACCUUGCGUUAUACGAGCGGCCGAUGUCAGAUUAGCUAGUUGGUGAGGUAAAGGCUCACCAAGGCGACGAUCUGUAGCGGGUCUGAGAGGAUGAUCCGCCAAGCUGGGACUGAGACACGGCCCAGACUCCUACGGGAGGCAGCAGUGGGGAAUUUUGGACAAUGGGGGCAACCCUGAUCCAGCCAUGCCGCGUGAGUGAAGAAGGCCUUCGGGUUGUAAAGCUCUUUCGGCCGGGAAGAAAUCGCACAGGCUAAUACUCUGUGUGGAUGACGGUACCGGCAUAAGAAGCACCGGCUAACUACGUGCCAGCAGCCGCCGUAA